CACGUAGGGGGCGAGCGUUGUCCGGAAUCAUUGGGCGUAAAGAGCGCGCAGGCGUCUUGGCAAGUCGGGUGUGAAAUCCCUGGGCUCAACCCCGGGACUGCAUUCGAUACUGUCAGGCUAGAGGUAGGUAGGGGAGAUCGGAAUUCCAGGUGUAGCGGCGAAAUGCGUAGAUAUCUGGAGGAAUACCGGUGGCGAAGGCGGCACCCUGGACCGGCAUUGACGCUGAGGAGCGAAAGCCAGGGGAGCAAACGGG
rnacentral:rRNA from 1 species